ensembl:ncRNA T28D9.13 ncRNA
GCGACGAGGCAAUUCGAAACUCGCGGCCAUCGCAUUGAGGCUCUCCUCCCCUCCUCAUUCUUCGUUUCGUCCGCUGUUGAGGAGUGUGAGUAGGACACCGCUUCCUUCGACCAGCCGGCCGCCUCUAGCUGUCCAGUGAGCGUUGCGUGAGUGUCAGGCACAGACUAGGCCGACGGUGGACGGGCGCGCAGCGCCGGGCCCUGUGAGGCGCGAGAGCCAAAUAAUAAGA